AUGAAAAGAUGUGAUUCGGCGAUUUUGAGUUGUCGGGUAUUUUUGUGUCCUAGAAGUGUGAGAGAAGGGGCUACGUUCUGCGUCUUCCGGAGGCGCAAAGCAAGGGAGUCUCCUGGUGUCAUCUCGGGCCAUUGCGGCGGCGCUCAGUCGAUCAUUAGCUUCCAGUCCUUUAAAACGAGGGUUUGGACCCGGUGCCUUCUGAAGCCGGUGCUUCACUGAACUCCCGAGGGCGAUCCAAACUGCCUAAGCAUCCCGAGUCGAGCACCCGCGCCUGCGUUCCUGAGUCAUCCAGCGCCCUGCAGCGUUUUUCAUGCACAUGGUCCGAAUAUAUCAGACUGCAGAGAGAGGCUGUAUUGUAACUGGCCAGCUUAUAAUACUCUAAAUAAUAAUAUAAAAGGUAGUUUUAUAUUUAACAAAUAUUGCUCACUGACAGUGUGCCCGGAACCAAAGCCUAUUGUUUCAUUGAAUGUACACACCCUUGGGACUGGAAUGAGUAGAAAACAUUGUUAUUCCUGUUUUACAGAUGGAGAAACUGAGACUCUUGACUAUCAGUAAGUGGCUAAGUCAGAAUUUAAAUCAGGUUUUGUCUGAUAUCAAAUCCAGUUGGAUUUUCUACUCUAAUCGGUUUUUCUCAUUAAACUUCAGACUUAACGUUUCCCAUCAUAGACCUUACCCAUUUUUAAUUGCUUAUUCAUUGGAAAGGGAGCUUCGUUCGGAUUUAAGGUAAUCAAAGAAAAAAUUCAGUCAGCCAAAUCUAAUGACUUUUUUUCUGUUCCACGCAUUUGAAAACAAAUCACACCAAGGCCUGAGGAUCUUAAACCUCGUUGUGUAGAAAGAAGGAAACACACUAUUUUAUUAUAAUCAACAAACUAAACCGUGUGUAGAGAGAGACAGCCAGGUGAUGGAAACUCAUUAGGUUCAGAAACCAGAUUGUGCACGCGGUUCUGAGAGACAGCCAAGCGACCUCACGCAAGACCCUCUUUGGGGCUUAGUUUUCUUACCUAAAAAACCAGGGUUGAAGAUCACC
rnacentral:lncRNA from 1 species